CGGUGAAAUUCCAAUCGAGCUCGGAGAUAGCUGGUUCUCUUCGAAAUAGCUUUAGGGCUAGCGUCUUAAGAAAUGUAUAUCGGGGGUAGAGCACUGAAUGCUCUAGGGGCCGUAUAGGUUACCGAAAGCUAUCAAACUUCGAAUACCGAUAUAUAAAUAAGGCAGUCAGACUACGAGUGAUAAGAUCCGUGGUCAAGAGGGAAAAAGCCCAGAUCAACAGCUAAGGUCCCAAAAUGUAUGUUAAGUGGAAAAGGAUGUGAAAUUGCACAGACAACCAGGAUGUUGGCUUAGAAGCAGCCAUACAUUAAAAGAGUGCGUAAUAGCUCACUGGUCGAGUGGUUUUGCGCCGAAAAUUACCGGGGCUCAAACAUACUACCGAAGCUUUGAACCAGCACUCAACUUUGUUCAUUAGGAGGCAAAAUGUAUUAUGUAUAUAUAUUAAAAAAUAAAGAAGAAAAAAUAUAUAUAGGAUAUACAGGUGAUUUAAAAAGAAGGUUUAAAGAACAUAAUCAAACAAAGACCGGAUAUACCCAAAAAGGUAAAUGGGAAUUGAUAUAUUAUGAAGGAUACAAAAACCAACAAGAUGCACAAGAAAGAGAAAAACAGUUAAAAAAUCACGGACAAGCCAAAAGAUGGUUAAAAGAAAGAAUAAAAAGAAGUCUUAAUGAAUGAAGUUGAGUGCUGGUGGUAGAAGAGCAUCGUAUGAUAGGGAGAAGGAGGAUUGAAAAAGACUCUGGACGAAAUACGAGAGAGAAUGUUGGCAUGAGUAGCGAGAUGUGUGUGAGAAUCACACAGGCCGAAAACCCAAGGAUUUCCAAGGAAGGUUCGUCCGCUUGGAGUAAGUCGGGACCUAAGGAGAGGCAGAAAUGCGUAUCUGAUGGACAACAGGUUAAGAUUCCUGUACCUACGCUUAUCGCCAAAGAGGAGAAGGAAUGACGCAGGAGGAUAAGAUCAGCGCACGGCUGGAAGAGUGCGUCCAAGCAGUAAGGCAGGCAUAUAGGCAAAUCCGUAUGCUAAUAAUGUUAAGCUGUGAUGGGGAGAGAAGUUAAGUAUCGAAGGAUCUGAUUUCACACUGACAGGAAAAGUUUCUAUCCAGAUAAGAGUAGCCCGUACCAAAACCGACACAGGUGGGUAAGGUGAGAAACCUAAGGCCGGCGAGAGAACUGUUGUUAAGGAACUCGGCAAAAUGACCCCGUAACUUAGGGAUAAGGGGUGCCUUAGAGAUAAGGCUUCAAGAAAAAGGCCCAAGCGACUGUUUACCAAAAACAUAGGUCUCUGCGAAACCGCAAGGUGAAGUAUAGGGGCUGACGCCUGCCCGGUGCUGGAAGGUUAAGAGGAGAUGUCAGGCAACGAAGCAUUGAAUUUAAGCCCCAGUAAACGGCGGCCGUAACUAUAACGGUCCUAAGGUAGCGAAAUUCCUUGUCGGGUAAGUUCCGACCCGCACGAAAGGCGUAACGAUUUGGGCACUGUCUCAACAACAGACUCGGUGAAAUUGUAGUACCGGUGAAGAUGCCGGAAACCUGCGACAGGACGGAAAGACCCCAUGGAGCUUUACUGUAGCUUAGUAUUGAAUUUAUGUAAUUAAUGUACAGAAUAGGUGGGAGGCUGAGAGAUUAGGUCGUCAGAUUUAAAGGAGCCGCCUUUGGGAUACCACCCUUUGAUUAUGUGAGUUCUAACCGGAAUCUUUGAAGCAAGGUACGGGACAGUGCUUGGCGGACAGUUUGACUGGGGCGGUCGCCUCCCAAAGAGUAACGGAGGCGUUCAAAGGUUCCCUCAGGCUGGAUGGAAAUCAGCCUAAGAGUGCAAACGCAUAAGGGAGCUUGACUGCAAGACUGACGGGUCGAGCAGGUACGAAAGUAGGAGUUAGUGAUCCGG
rnacentral:rRNA from 1 species